GACGAACGCUGGCGGCGUGCCUAAUACAUGCAAGUAGAACGCUGACUACUUUAGCUUGCUAGAGUAGAAGGAGUUGCGAACGGGUGAGUAACGCGUGAGCAACCUGACCUUCAGAGGGGGAUAACACUUGGAAACAGGUGCUAAUACCGCAUAAGACCACGACCUGACAUCAGGAUGAGGUCAAAGGAGCAAUCCGCUGAGGGAGGGGCUCGCGUCCCAUUAGAUAGAUGGCGGGGUAACGGCCCACCAUGUCGACGAUGGGUAGCCGAGCUGAGAGGCUGAUCGGCCACACUGGAACUGAGACACGGUCCAGACUCCUACGGGAGGCAGCAGUGGGGAAUAUUGGGCAAUGGGCGCAAGCCUGACCCAGCAACGCCGCGUGAGGGAAGAAGGCCUUCGGGUUGUAAACCUCUGUCCUUGGUGACGAAACAAAUGACGGUAGCCAAGGAGGAAGCCCCGGCUAACUACGUGCCAGCAGCCGCCGUAA
rnacentral:rRNA from 1 species